GCAUAAACAAUGUUCUCUUUUUCAUACACUUCAUAAAGGUAGAACUCUUCAUCAAGAAUAGAAACAAUAAUUUCCUGGUCAUGGCAGCACUGCACUCAGGCUAGCUCUUUCUGCUACUUCGAUUGGACAGGAAAAAUGUUGAUUAUCCAUAAAUACCUCCUCCAUGGCUAAAUAUCUCCAGUUCUUUUCCUGUCCACAUUCCCUUUGUACAUUAGUCUUUUGGCUCUAUACUUUUUCUUUCGUUGGCUACCCAAGACUGUUUACUGCCCUUGCCUGGAUGGAGUUCAGCCUCUCUUCUCUGGAAUCUGCAAUACAUGGCGCCUCACCAAGACUUACAGUAUAGCCUAUUAUAAUUUGUUGACAACUAAUGUAUCUAAAGACACUUAUGAGAGAAUCAAGGCUCCCAACUAGAUUUGGCAGAACUGUCCCUACUUUGGGGUUCUGUCCUUCUGUCAUGGAUACACUACACAACUCACAAGUCUUACAUCAGAAAUAGGAAAGGAUGUAUUAUCGGACCUUAGAGUGGCCAGGCUUAACGUAAAACAUAAAUAGUCAAAAAUGGAAAUUCUAGCCAAGAUCAGUAUAACAGAAAUACAGGCAUACGAUAUAACUAGCCAGGUCAGGAUUAUAGUGGUCAACAAAGUCACAUAACAAGCCAAAGUCAAAAUAAAAGAAAAUUAGAGAAUACUAUAACUCACUGAAUGUGGAACCAGGAGGAAACCAUGACAGGGUAAUAAACACGGGGCUAAUACUUAUUUAAAUAUUAUGGGGCACUCUGAUUGGUCCACGUCAGCCUUGCGACACCAAAAAGUCCAGGAACGUAGUCGCAGUGAUAAUGUAGACCCCCAGAAAUUACACUAGGUAUCAUAUACUAAGGUAGAGGGGCGCCUCGAGCAUGCAGCAUCCUUC